GAGAUUAAGCAAUUUGCUUGAGGUUGAACAAGGAGCUAGUGACAGCCCAGACUUGGAAACCAUCUAUACUGCUUUCAGUACAACCUGCCAGACAGGGAGAAGUCAGCCAGAGUCAGUGACUAGCUGGAGAGGAAAAGGACGGGUUGCUUCAAUAGUGAACCUAUCAAUCGUGGCACUGAAAGUCAGGAAACUCGAUCUUUUGAGCCAGUUUUAAGAUAAAAGAUACUUCAUGUGAUGAUGAGUACAGUUUGGGAUAUGUCAGAGUGGAGAUGGUACCCCGAUAAAGGAGUAACCAGGUGGAAAUUUCCAGAACCAGAGUUUGAGAGAAGAGACAAUAGCAUGAGUCAUGAUGGGGGUCAUGGGAACUAAGGGAGAGGGAGGUGUUAAGCAUGACUACCAUCAUGGGCACAAGACCAGCAUGGGGACGAGAGCAGCGUAGGGACAGGGGUGCUGGCUUCAUCACGACAGGAUGAGUGCAAGGAGAAAGAGGUUGUCGGGGGAAGGAGAGGGCCUAGAGAGUUCACUCUGGGGCCAGAUGGAUUGCAGCUGCUGGCUGAGCCCCCCAGUAAGCAGUGAGAUACACAGACCUGGAGGUCAGCCUAGCUCCUUCCUGAGGGAAGAUGGAGUGGAGUGGCGCAGUGAGAGAAGGGCAGGCCAACAGGGACAGGGGAGCCAGGAAGAUAAUAGAUUUGAAAUGAAGAAAGGACCAUUCGUUGCCAAAGGAUGGAGGAGGGAGACUGAAAGUCCUCAAGAAGCAGCCAAGAAUUUUGGUGCCAAAAAAUAAGGACUUUUAGAUGAAGCAAAGAAAUCUAUAAGCUGACCCACAAUGACAAUCCCUAAAUGCAGGGAUCUGGGUUCGAUUCCAUCAAUGAGAGGUACUUCUGCAAGAUCUGGAAGAAGGAAGAGAAGAGCAGACACAAGACUGUGUAGUGGCUUCCAGGAAUUAGCAUGAAAGUCACCCGUUUUGGUCUACAGACACUUGUGAUCAUCACUGCAGUCUCCUGCAGUUUCUGUAACUUCCUGACUCUCUAAAAGCUAGCAGCCAUCCUGAGAGGUAAGACUAGUUUGCCUUUACUUUUCUUCCUCCAACACUCUCAGUAGUUUUGUAACCACUUAAUUCCCUAUAUUAAACCCCUUUCUGUUUGAAAUACCUGGGGUGGUGUCUGUUUUCCCAACUGGACUAUAACUAAACACUUUCUUUUUAUCAGGAAAGGAAAAAUUUCCCAGCUAUCCACCAUCAGACUUUUAUCCACAUCUAGAGUAAAAAAGCUAAGUAGGUCACAUGCAUACUACAAAACCCAGCCAAUUGGCCAAGGUAAAUGGGAUUACCGUAACAGGCUUGAACUAGUCCUGACUCCUCCCCCAGGGUUGGGCAUAUUACUGCCUCAUAUCUGAAUAAAGAAGAGGAAAAUGACUGUGUGCAGACACCAAUAGUUGCUGCUACUGGUGCUUUGGAGACCCCAGUGCAGUUUGGAGGGUCCUAAUAAGAAAAGUUGGCCUGAGAGUGGGGUUUGUCUUUUGGGUCUGGCUGAUGGCGGUAAUGAAUGUCUAAGGAAAUGGGCUUCAUGAUAAGGCUGAGAUUCAAUUAGAAAAGAAUCAAUGUGUUUGUAUUGAUUUGAGGUGGGCACUUGUAUUUUCUUCUAUGCAAGGCUAGGCAUUCUUGGGACAAAUUAAAAAAUAGAAGUGCAGUGAAGUAAAGCAGGACUAAAAAUUAUGUGUCCAUUGUCUAUUGAAUGGACAAAUAAUAAUGCUUCUCACAUGUAUUAUAUGUUUUAAUAAUGAUAAUACUAAAAAUAACCACUUUAAUAGUACUUACAGCAUGCCAGGCAUUUUUCCAAAUGCUGUCUGUGCAUUGUCAUGUAAUCCUCACAAUAAUAUAAGGUAGGUAUUAUUAUUAUUCCUAUACACAAGGUGAGAAUGCUGAGGCACUUGAGGUUCCCCCUCUCAAGGUGAGAACCUCAAAGUGAGAACUCUCAAGGUGAGAACCUUGAGAGUUGUCCAAGGUCACACAUAGCUUUAGGUGACAGAGCUGAGAUCUGAACCCAGAUGGUCUGGGCCUGAGAUCAUACUGAGAACAUAAAUUUGGCUGGGCACAGUGGCUCACAGCCUGUAAUCCCAGCACUUUGGGAGGCUGAGGCAGGAGGAUCACUUAGCCCAGGAGUUUGAGACUGGCCUGGGCAGCAGAGUGGGACUCCAUUUCUCUUCCCAUUUUUUUUUUUUUUUUGAAACAGGGUCUCAUUCCAUUGCCCAGGCUGGAGUGCAGUGGCGUGAUCUCAGUUCACUGCAAUCUUCAUUUCCUGAGUUCAAGCAAUCCUUCUACCUCAGCCUCCCAAGUAGCUGGGACUACAGGCACACACACACCCAUGCCUGGCUAAUUUUUGUAUUUUUUUGUACAGACAGAAUUUCACCUUGUUGCCCAGGCUGAUCUUGAACUUCUGAGCUCAAGCAGUCUGCCCACCUUGGCCUCCCAAAGUGCUGGGAUUAUAGGCAUGAUCAACUUCACCCAGCCCUUGAGACCCCAUCUUUACAAAAAAUAAGUAAAUAAAAAAUUAGCUGGGUGUGGUGGCCCAUGCCUGUGGUCCCAGCUACUUGAGAGGCUGAGGUAGGAGGAUGGCUUGAGCCCAGGAGGUUGAGGCUGCAGUGAGCCGUGAUUGUGCCAUAAAUUUAAGGUGGCUUUUUGUCACUAUGUAUUCUGUUCAUCAACAGAUGCCAAAAGAAAUCACAUGAGGAGCUAUGACAUUUGUUUAUGUUUGUAUAUGUGUCUUGUUGCUGCUGUAACAAAUUAACACAAAGUUAGUGGCAAUAAACAAUAUAAAUGUACUCUUUUCAGUUCUGGAGGUCGAAGUCUAAAAUCCACGGGGUUGCAUUCCUUCUGGAGGUGCUGGGGAGAAUCUGUUUCCCUGCCUUUUUCAGCAUCUAGAGGCACCCACACUAAACGGCCUCUUGGCCCCUUGCCCCCAUCUUCAAAGCCAGGAGCGUAGCAUCUUCUCUCCCUUCUGACCUCGUGCCUCCCUUUGAUGAGAACCUCUGUGGUGACACUGGCCCAACCAGGUCAUCUAGGAAAAUCUUCCCAUCUCAAGAUCUCUAGCCCAAUUACACCUGCAAAGUCCUUUUUACCAUGUGAGCUUCCAGAGAACAGUACACUGGCUUCUUUGAGGAGCCAUUACUCAGACUAACCUAAUGUUACAAGGAGAGCUUGCCCUGGAGAGGGUAGGAAAGGGCCCGACUAACGCAAUGAGUCCAUCACACAGAUAGAAGGGGCAGAGGCCACUGCGUGAAGGCCCAGGCCAGCUUGCCCUGAGCUCUUGCCUGGCUCCAUCCCACACUCUGGCUGGUGGGGUGGGUGGGCACCUCAUCUCUGAGGACAGAAGGGGAGGGAGUCCGGUGGGGGCAAAGCAGCUGGUCUUGCAAGAGUGUCCUGCUGUUGGCUGGGUAGGGCCGGCUCUGAGGAGCCUUUCCAGGGGAGCUUUGUUUUUCCAGAAGAAAACUGACAGAAGGACAGCUGCCCCAAAACAACAAGAACUAAGUGAAAGCUCUGCAGAGGUGCAGAUGGUAGCUAUGUCCCUCCCACGAGGGUCCUCCCAUGUUAGCAGGCCACAGGAUGCAUGGUGCCAUCCAGCCAGUGGUCCACGUGGGCCCAGCUUGAGUAUCUUCCUGAUAAUGGAGGCCAGGAUUUGCAG
rnacentral:lncRNA from 10 species